GCUUCUCGCUGGUGAUUGAGGGAGAUGCUGUCCAAUUCCAAAAGCCUGCACUGGCUUGGACACAGCACUGCUAAUAAAGCCGCUUCUUACUGUUCGGCCAUUCCUUACUUUACCUCAUUUGGUUAAACCACAAGCUCAGUGCUUGGAACUUCCGUUUUCUUAUCUUGAACAUCGCGUACUGUUCCAGCUCACAGCCAGCCACCCAGGAAGGAAGCGUUUUGUUCCUUUUAGACAGAGGCCCUGGCCGGCCACAUGGCCACGCUGUUGAAAAGCUCUAAAUUUUCCGACGAGCUCUGGGACCCUUAGCAGGGGAGACUGGAAACAGACAAGCUGGACCUCUGCCUGUAUGGCGAUUUCUGAGAUGCUAAGAAGUCCUCAAUUUCUUCUCCUUUGAUAGACUACCCAAUAUUUGAGCUGCUACCGUUAUGAGUUUCACGCGUAUUUUAUGAGUUAAAAGAAGAAAGCAGGACCAUUUUGGGUACGGGCCGAGGCAAGAGUUCCUGUUGCUUUGGAUUCUGACUUCUGGGUCUGAAUUGAGGGCAGGAGGACUAGAAUCUGGGUUUUUUGCUGUUCUCAGGAUCCUGAGGACUUGAAAACUUCCACUCCACUCACAGUGAAAUCACAUUCUUCUGAAAGAAUUUUGGACACAAACUUGGGUUGUUGGGUAAUGAAGGGUUGAAGUUACUAGUUCUUCACUGUGAAGAAAUAGCCCUGGUUUGUGGUUGGAAGAAGAAUAAGCUAUUGUCACUGUUUGGGCUUCUGGAAAAGUAAACUCCCCGUAGACUGAAAUUUGGCUUCCAGUCUGUUCUGUGAUUUCUUUCAGAGGAGGCCCAUGCCCCAGAUAAUCAUAUCCACUUCCCUGCAGAACCUCUCACAUGGAAUUUUAGAUUUGGAAAGAAUCUUAAAGGUCAUUUGGUUGUAUCUUCAUCCCUCCCAAAUCUAACAGUUGUGUUUCUUAAAGGACC
rnacentral:lncRNA from 1 species